GGGGUGAAGCACUGGUUCGGCUAGGAUGUCAAUCCGACUUACCAAACCUGUGCAAACUCCGAAAACCUACAAGUGCAGAGCAUUGGAGACACACGGAGGGUGCUAACGUCCGUCGUGAAAAGGGAAACAACCCAGACCGUCAGCUAAGGUCCCAAAGUCAUGGUUAAGUGGGAAACGAUGUGGGAAGGCUUAGAAAGCUAGGAGGUUGGCUUAGAAGCAGCCACCCUUUAAAGAAAGCGUAAUAGCUCACUAGUCGAGUCGGCCUGCGCGGAAGAGGUAACGGGGCUCAAACCAUGCACCGAAGCUACGGGUAUCAUCUUUUGAUGAGGCGGUAGAGGAGCGUUCUGUAAGCCUGUGAAGGUGGGUUGAGCAGCUUGCUGGAGGUAUCAGGAGUGCGCAUGAUGCAAUGAGUAACGAACAGGGGUG
rnacentral:rRNA from 1 species